rnacentral:misc_RNA from 1 species
CUCACGCGCGCGCGACUGCCUUCUCUGCUUCUCUCUCCCUCGCGUCUUCUUGUUCCCCGAGCUUCCAUCGCCCGCGCCCUGGCAUCCGCCUGCUCCUCUCGGCCGACCGGCCCUGCUCCACUGCGCCAAGCUCCUCCCUCACCCUGGUCCCGGUCCUCAGCGUGCCUGCUCCCUGGAGCUCGCCCAUGCCGCGCGCUCCUCCGUGCCGGCGUUCUCUACUCGACCAUGGCGUGGACAGCCGCCGAGCCCCCUCCGCCCGUCUUCCCUCUGUUCAGAGCGCCGUCACCUGGAGUCCCUACGCGCUCCAUCUCUGCCUGGCCAUGGAGCUCGCCCCUGGCUCGGAUUCCAGCGCCCCGCUCCCUGUUUGCCCCAGCUCGCCUGGCCGCUGCGCAGCCCCCUCGGCUUCUCCUCCCUCAGCUCGUCUCUCCUGCCCGUGCGCGUCCUUCCCAUGGCUGUCUGUUCGAGCUCCUCCCUGCGUCGCGCGCGAGCUCGGCGCCCAACUCUCCUGCGCACUGGUCGCCCCUCCCUCUGUUCGCUUGCGCGCAGUCAUGCCCCUGCUUCAGCUCUGGAGCAUCCCCACGCGCGCGUUCUGUUCCUCCUGCGCGUGAGCUCAGCGCCCCUUCCGGCCUCCUGUUCGCCAUCAGCGCAGUAGUUUCUCUUCAAGUGCAGCGCCGGUUGUCCUCGUGCUCAGCUCCAAGCUCGCCCAGCUUUGGUGGUCGUCGCCUCCACCUCGACCUGAGCACCGCCACGGAGUUCGCCCCUUCCAGACUUCCAGUUACCUUGUCGCACCUGCGUUCUUGCCCCUGCCCAUAG